GCGCCCGUAGCAUAAUUGGAUAGUGCAAUUGCUUGCGGAGCAAUCGGUUAUUGGUUCAAAUCCAAUCGGGCGCA
rnacentral:tRNA from 1 species